rnacentral:rRNA from 1 species
AUUGAACGCUGGCGGCAGGCCUAACACAUGCAAGUCGAGCGGCAGCGGGACCUUCGGGUUGCCGGCGAGCGGCGGACGGGUGAGUAAUGCCUAGGAAUCUGCCUGUUAGUGGGGGAUAACGCGGGGAGACUCGCGCUAAUACCGCAUACGUCCUACGGGAGAAAGCGGGGGCUCUUCGGACCUCGCGCGAACAGAUGAGCCUGGGUCGGAUUAGCUAGUUGGUGGGGUAAUGGCCCACCAAGGCGACGAUCCUUAACUGGUCGGAGAGGAUGAUCAGUCACACUGGAACUGAGACACGGUCCAGACUCCUACGGGAGGCAGCAGUGGGGAAUAUUGGACAAUGGGCGAAAGCCUGAUCCAGCCAUGCCGCGUGUGUGAAGAAGGUCUUCGGAUUGUAAAGCACUUUAAGUCGGGAGGAAGGGCUGUAGGCUAAUACCUUGCAGUUUUGACGUUACCGACAGAAUAAGCACCGGCUAACUUCGUGCCAGCAGCCGCCGUAA